rnacentral:rRNA from 1 species
CAAUAGCGUAUAUUAAAGUUGUUGCAGUUAAAAAGCUCGUAGUAGGAUUUCUGGUGGGAGCGAUCGGUCUGGCGCUUAGCGCGAGUACUUGCAUCGUCUCCGGCCAUCCUUGGGGAAAGUCUGUCUGGCAUUAAGUUGUCGGGCAGAGGAUCCUCAUCGUUUACUGUGAAAAAAUUAGAGUGUUCAAAGCAGGCUUAUGCCGUUGAAUAUAUUAGCAUGGAAUAAUAAGAUAGGACUUUGGUACUAUUUUGUUGGUUUGCGCACCAAAGUAAUGAUUAAUAGGGACAGUUGGGGGUAUUCGUAUUCCGUUGUCAGAGGUGAAAUUCUUGGAUUUACGGAAGACGAACUACUGCGAAAGCAUUUACCAAGGAUGUUUUCAUUAA